rnacentral:rRNA from 1 species
ACGGGUGAGUAACACGUGGAUCAUCUACCUUUUAGUGGGGAAUACCCCUGGGAAACCGGGGACAAUACCGCAUAAGCUCGUGAGAGGAAAGCAGCAAUGCGCUGAAAGAGGAGUCCGCGGCUGAUUAGCUAGUUGGCGGGGUAACGGCCCACCAAGGCGAAGAUCGGUAGCCGGCCUGAGAGGGCGCACGGCCACACUGGAACUGAAACACGGUCCAGACUCCUACGGGAGGCAGCAGUGGGGAAUUUUGCGCAAUGGGGGAAACCCUGACGCAGCAACGCCGCGUGGAGGAUGAAGUCCCUUGGGAUGUAAACUCCUUUCGAUCGGGACGAUUAUGACGGUACCGGAAGAAGAAGCACCGGCUAACUCUGUGCCAGCAGCCGCGG